rnacentral:rRNA from 1 species
CAGUCGCCGCGGUAAUACGAAGGGGGCUAGCGUUGUUCGGAAUUACUGGGCGUAAAGCGCACGUAGGCGGAUAUUUAAGUCAGGGGUGAAAUCCCAGAGCUCAACUCUGGAACUGCCUUUGAUACUGGGUAUCUUGAGUAUGGAAGAGGUUAGUGGAAUUGCGAGUGUAGAGGUGAAAUUCGUAGAUAUUCGCAGGAACACCAGUGGCGAAGGCGGCUAACUGGUCCAUAACUGACGCUGAGGUGCGAAAGCGUGGGGAGCAAACAGGAUUAGAUACCCCUGUAGUCCCUGUCUCUUAUAC